UAAACAGAGCCGCAGGAAGUCCGAGCCGCACGAGCGAAUCGUUUCUCUGCUUUUAUUUCAUUUACAAAACCAAGUGCAGGCGAGAAGGUGCUCAGCAUCCGCGCAGGAGACGAGAAGAAGAUCCCUGCUCCAGUCCACAGCCUGUCCACCAGCACACAAGUCACUUGAAAUGAUGGAGAAUUCAGGUAGGAUUCGAGUAGAUAUCUCUGGAGAGCCUUAUGAGCAAACAGUGAAGUACAUGGAGAGCCAUAACAUUCUGCAGAUAUUCCAGGAAAUCACAGAGAACCUGGUUUAUGACAGACCCGAGGACCCCCUACAGUAUAUGUUAGAGCAGUUGCAGAAGAAGAUCCGGGAACGCCAGGAGUCGAUGGAAGCUGCGAAAGCUGAAUAGUUUUCUCAGAUGGGAUGUUAAUAUUCAGCCCAGGAUUUUUUCCCCUCACACACACAUACACACACACACACACACACACACACACACAAGCACACA